rnacentral:rRNA from 1 species
UGCGGAAGGAUCAUUCGCACGCAAACUGCAUCCAAUACAUAGUGAACCUUGGGUGUGAGGUUCCGCCUGUGUGUGUCAAAUAACACUGUGCGGAAGCUCGAGGGCAGCGGGGCGGAGAUGGCGAUCCUCUCUUCGGGGCGCUUCCUCUCUGUGCUCGUUGUCACAUACCUUUUCCCACCACAAUCUUAUGCUUGUUCUUGCUCGAAGACACAUGUUGUAAAAAAGCUUUACAACUUUCAGCGACGGAUAUCUCGGCUCAAGCAACGAUGAAGGGCGCAGCGAAGUGUGAUAAGCAUUGUGAAUUGCAGAUUUCCGUGAGCCAACAGAAACCUGAACGCAUUCUGCGCUUUCGGGAUAUUCCUGAAAGCAUGCCUGCUUCAGUGUCUACUUCUUUCUGCCAGCGAAGCGCUCGCCUCGUUGCGAGCGAGUCGCUCGGCGUUGUGUGCGUUAGGCUUGGUCGUCCGCUGCUUCCUCGGAGGUGUGUGCGGGCGUUUCGAACUUGACGCAUGGAGCGCAUGUGUGAGUUAUGGCGCGCCUUGGCAAUGUAUUGGAUGGUUCUAGCCACCUCUAUGCUUUGCGAGGCUGCGGCGAAGCUCGCCUGCUUUCGCUCUUACUUUACCUCAAGACAUGAAGCCAGGUCAGCAAACCCGCUGAAUUUAAGCAUAUCAAU